rnacentral:sRNA from 1 species
UUAUGAACAACGCAAAAUAACAACAUUCUCGAGACGCGAUUAUUUGGUGCGAGGUAUCCUCUUCUGGGCGAUUGCCCAAGACCACUGAAGUUCUCGAACAGAAUGGAGAACGACUAACGAACAAUCUUGGGUGCGGUGCUUCUCUCCUCCCGGGGACCGUGAGAAGGGUCGCAAUGAUUGAGCGUACAU